UGAGGUAGAGGCGCGAUAUUUAACAGUCUUUGGUGGAGCUUGAGAAGGCGCUGAUACUAAGGAGAAGGAAAUAUCGCCGAAGCUUGUAAUACUUUUCUCGGUAUUACUUGCUGGGCUUACAGUGAAUAAUUGUAAGACUGUCUCAGUUAAC
rnacentral:ncRNA from 1 species